rnacentral:lncRNA from 1 species
UCAGAAUCAACAAAGCUAUCGACAACACACCAAGAUGGUGUCAUAGUUAUGUAAGAAUUAAAAGAGUUUCUCCGAAUAAAGGUUCAUAAGUUCCUACUUCUAUAUUUAUGCUGCCUUCUGGUUAUGGAUUCUCAACAUUGAGAUAUUUCUAGGCUUGUAAAAUACAAUGGCAUCAAGCAGAGGCUAUGUGGGAAAUAUGUAUAUCAUCGCCGCUCGAACUUGGCAACACCAUGUUAGUAAAUGAGAAAAAGGUUUGAGCUUUUCUGAU